ACAAAUACAAGAAUAAAGCAUUACAUCAUCCAGAUACAAUCAAGGCCCGACUACGGAGCCAAAAUAAAAGAAGACUACCCCAAAUGCUACACAGAUGCCCGAUCGACCCCAACUGGGCUCCACUACUGAUCGACUAGAACGAAACAACAUAAAGGACAAGAUCUUCAUCGAGCUCCUCCUGAGCUUGGUUGCGUCAUCUGCACAGUAUCAUCGGCACCUGCAAACUGGUUUUGGAAGUAUAUGUGAGUCACGGGGACUCAGCAAUCUCACACCCUCGCGAUCAAGACUAUUUAAGCUUAUAGGUAGGGUAAAAGGUACAAGGUGGAGCUGCAGCAAGCGACUAGCAUAUAUGGUGGCUAAACAUAUGCAAAUGAGAGCGAGAAGAGAAGGCAAAGCACGAUCGUGAAACUAUGAUCAAGAAGUGAUCCUAGAACAACCUACGUCAAACAUUACUCCAACACCGUGUUCACUUCCCGGACUCCGCCGGAAAGAGACCAUCACGGUAACACACGCGGUUGAUGUAUUUUAAUUAAGGUCAACUUCAGGUUUUCUACAACCGGACAUUAACAAAUUCCCAUCUGCCCAUAACCGCGGGAACGGCUUUCGAAAGUUCAAAUCCCUGCAGGGGAGUCCCAACUUAGCCCAUGACAAGCUCUCACGGUCAACGAAGGAAUAGACCUCCUCCCGAGACAUUCCGAUUAGACUCGGUAUCCUGGUUCUACAAGACACUUCGACAAGUUAAAACAAAUCCAGCAACACCGCCCGAAUGUGCCGACAAAUCCCGAUAGGAGCUGCACAUAUCUCUUUCUCAGGGCACACUUAGAUGAGACUAGCUACGAGUAAAACCAACCCUCAAGUUUCCCCGAGGUGGCCCCGCAGGUAGCUCAGUUCGGACCAACACUCAGAGGAGCACUGGCCCGGGGGGGGGGGGAUUAGAAUAAAGAUGACCCUUGAGUUUGCAGAACCCAAGGGAAGGUGGUAGGUUGUUAGUGCAAAUGGUAAAACCAAGGUUGGGCAUUGCUGGAGGAGUUUUAUUCAAGGCGAACUGUCAAGGGGUUCCCAUUAUUACCCAACCGCGUAAGGAAUGCAAAAUCUGGGAACAUAACACCGAUAUGACGGAAACUAGGGCGGCAAGAGUGGAACAAAACACCACGCAUAAGGCCGAGCCUUCCACCCUUUACCAAGUAUAUAGAUGCAUUAAUUAAAUAAGAGAUAUUGUGAUAUCCAAACAAGUAAACAUGUUCCAACCAGGAACAACAUCUCCAUGUUCCAACAAGGAACAACCUUCAAUCUUCACCUGCAACUAACAACGCUAUAAGAGGGGCUGAGCAAAGCGGUAACAUAGCCAAACAACGGUUUGCUAGGACAAGGUGGGUUAGAGGCUUGGUUCAACAAUAUAGGAGGCAUGAAAAGCAAGUGGUAGGUAUCGCAGCAUAGGCAUAGCAAAAGAGCGAGCAACUAGCAAGCAAAGAUAGAAGUGAUUUCGAGGGUAUGAUCAUCUUGCCUGAGAUCCCGCAAGGAAGAAGAACGAGUCCAUGAAGAAGACAAACGGACGUAGUCGAACGGGUCCUCACAAACGCGACGUUAUCGGAUUAUCGAGAAGAAAUACACCGGAAAGAAAGCAAACAACAUAGUAAAAAACCACCCCAUAAACAUGGCAUGAUGCACAAUCAAGUAUGAUGCAUGUCCGGUUUAAUGAAGCAUGGCAUGGCAAGAUGCACAAACAAUCCUACAAAUUAACUGGAGCUCAAUAUGCAACGGAGUUGCAUAUUGAAGAAAACACCACAUGACUUAUUUACUUCUCUCUCGUUUAUGUACCCAACAAGGUUAAAUGUUGUUAGCAUGGCAAGAGGUGAAGCAUGAUGAAACUAUCUAAUCUAGGCAAGUUUAAAUGAGGCCGGAACAACAAAACAGCAAGUCCGGAAACUCCACAUAUGCAUAUAUUAGGUUUGGUACUGUUCUGCCCUAAACAUAAUUUUAGAGUUGUUAAACAUGCUAGAUGAGUGCAUCAUGUUAAACUAGGCAUUUUUCUACCCCAUUUACAUAUAAAGUUUGUUAAAUUCCGAGUUACGGUUAUUUAGUUAUGAAAUAAAGCAUUUUAACAUGGCAUAGGAGCAAAUUUAACCAGACAACAUUUUAAACAAGUCAAACAUUCAUGAAAUUUGAAAAUUAUUAAACUAGAUGAAAAUCUAAGCAAGUUUUGUAUACAAAGUUUUUACAUGUGAUGCUUAGUUUGUGAGAUAUUAAAUGCAUGAAGGCUAAGGGGUUUUCUAAAAAACUGCACUCUCUGAAUAAAGACAAAAUCUCUAGAUCUGAAAAAAUCCAUUAUGGGCCGAAACAAGAACUGGCCCAACAUCAGGAAAAAAAGGUGGGCGCUGGGGGUGUGCCUCACCCAUGGGCCGGGCCCAAUUAUGGAGGAAGCAGGGUAGGCCGGAUCUGGCUGCUAGGCGCACAGCUGGGCCUCGGGCGCUGGCAGGCCACUGGGCCUUUCCAAAUCGAGGCUAAGCGCUGGCAGAUCGAGCAGUUGGACGCGGUCAACAAACGCGGCUGGACCGGGCGAGCUCCUCUGCUCGUCUCUGAAGAAAGACGGCAGCGACAGGUUCAGAGCGACAGACUUGGCGGCGAGAACGGCUGGGAGCAGAGCUCCGGCGAGCGGGCGAAGGGGCGGCGAGGUACAGGGCGUUCGGAUCUAGCUGGAAACGGGCCUGGACGCCACCGAGCUUGAGGAGCUCAGCGUCCAUGGCGGCAUCCAUGGCCGGGCGGCGCAGUUCGGAGCUCGGUUACCUGCGAGGACGGCCACGACGGGAAUCAGAGAGAGAAAGGGAGGAGAUGAUGACAGGGAGAAGGAGGAAGGAGAGGGGCGCGAGGGGCUGGCCUGUCCACGGCUCUGCUGCUGCUCCUGUUGGCGAGGCAGCGAGGCCACUCGGAACCAGAGACAGAGGAAGUUGGCGGAGGGGACACUCCAGGCGGCGGCGUCGUACUGCUACUCCAGAGAGAGUAACGUGAGGAGAGAGUCCAUGGCAGGGGAAAACAGAAGGAGGGGAAGGUGAGGAGGAGGAGAGGCACGACCUUGGGGACCGGCGUCAAUGGCGGAGGAGCUUCAGCGGCGACGUUCGUUGUUGUACGGCGAGGCGAGGAGGGGGCCAAGGACGAGGCAUGGCUCGGGUAGGGGAAGGCUCGGGCGCAGUCGAGGUGAACGGCGGCAGGAGGUGGCUCUGCGUGGGGGACUCGGUUGCCGGCGCGGGAAGGCACUGGAUGCAGGGGGUUGAGCGAGGGAGCAGCAGAGGAUGGAGGAGGAGGCGAUGUGGCGCUGGUCGAUUGGAUCGAUCCGAUCUGGGAGGAUCCCGAGGUGGAUGCGGGAGUGUGGAGGCGGCGGGUGAGGGAAAAA
rnacentral:lncRNA from 1 species